CCUGCCGAAUGAAUUAGCCCUGAAAAUGGAUGGCGCUGAAGCGUGUAGCCGACACUAUGCCGUCUGAGCAAAGUUUUGUUUUGCUUUCAGAUGAGUAGGAGGAACGUAGCGGUUGUACAGAAGCGUAUGCGCAAGCAUGCGUGGAACGGCCGCUAGUGCAGAUCUUGGUGGUAGUAGCAAAUAUUCAAAUGAAAACCUUGAAGGGCGAAGCGGGGAAGGGUUCCACGCGAACAUUGAUUGAGCGUGGGUAAGUCGUUCCUAAGCCGAGUGGUAAUUUCUUGUAAACUCUGGCGAAAGGGAAGCAGGUUGAUAUUCCUGCACACGGAUGUGGACGCGGUGACGCGAGACUGUGGCGGUGAAGCUGUCGGUUGCACUGGGCAGAGAUUUCUUUUCUGUUUAACGGAGCCUGAUGUACUCUAUGGAAUCCGCUUGUCGGGAGAAAUAGGUGUGUCACGGCAAAGCGCUGGGAUUUUUCUGGCGUCCAGCUUGCGACUGGCGGACCUUGAAAAGCUGUCUGCAGGCCCGGAAAAAUGAAAAUUUAUUUUUAAUUUUUCUGUGGUGAGAAAAUCCACGCCGUAACGUACCGAUAACCGCAUCAGGUCCCCAAGGUGAACAGCCUCUGCUCGAUAUGAUUAAUGUAGGUAAGGGAAGUCGGCAAAUUAGACCCGUAACUUUGGGAAAAGGGUUGGCUCUAGUGCUGCGUAGGCGCGGUUUCUGGGGUGUGGGGGGAAGGGUUGUGUUUCUGGUGUGGACGCUGCAGCAAAAUUUUUAAUUUUGUGGUGGUGUCUGUGCUGGAGAUGCGGCUUUUUUUCUGCUCCUGGCAAACCCCUACAGCAUGCAGCAAACUAGAACUGCAACGGACAAAGGGAAUCCGACUGUUUAAUUAAAACAAAGCAUU
rnacentral:rRNA from 1 species